CCUACGGGUGGCAGCAGUGGGGAAUAUUGCACAAUGGGGGAAACCCUGAUGCAGCGACGCCGCGUGAGUGAAGAAGUAAUUCGUUAUGUAAAGCUCUAUCAGCAGGGAAGAAAAUGACGGUACCUGCGUAAGAAGCCCCGGUUAACUAAGUGCCAGCAGCCGCGGUAAUACGUAGGGGGCAAGCGUUAGACGGAUGUACUGGGUGUAACGGGAGCGUAGGCGGCAGUGCAAGUCUGGAGUGAAAGGCGGGGGCUCAACCCUCGGACUGCUCGGGAUACUGUACGGCUUGAGUGCAGGAGAGGUAAGUGGAAUUCCUGGUGUAGCGGUGAAAUGCGUAGAUAUUAGGAGGAACACCAGUGGCGAAGGCAGCUUACUGGACUGUAACUGACGUUGAGGCUCGAAAGCGUGGGGAGCAAACAGGAUUAGAUACCCCAGUAGUC
rnacentral:rRNA from 1 species